GACGAACGCUGGCGGCGUGCUUAACACAUGCAAGUCGAACGGAAAGGCCCUGCUUUUGUGGGGUGCUCGAGUGGCGAACGGGUGAGUAACACGUGAGUAACCUGCCCUUGACUUUGGGAUAACUUCAGGAAAAUGGGGCUAAUACCGGAUAGGAGCUCCUGCUGCAUGGUGGGGGUUGGAAAGUUUCGGCGGUUGGGGAUGGACUCGCGGCUUAUCAGCUUGUUGGUGGGGUAGUGGCUUACCAAGGCUUUGACGGGUAGCCGGCCUGGGAGGGGGACCGGCGACAUUGGGACUGAGGUACGGCCCAGACUCCUACGGGAGGCAGCAGUGGGGAAUAUUGCACAAUGGGCGGAAGCCUGAUGCAGCAACGCCGCGUGCGGGAUGACGGCCUUCGGGUUGUAAACCGCUUUCGCCUGUGACGAAGCGUGAGUGACGGUAAUGGGUAAAGAAGCACCGGCUAACUACGUG
rnacentral:rRNA from 1 species